AUUGAACGCUGGCGGCAUGCCUAACACAUGCCAGUCGGGCGAGAGGCGGACGGAUGAGUAAUGUAUGGGGAUCUGCCUGAUGGCGGGGGAUACCUACUGGAAACGGUAGCUACUACCGCCUACCAUCAGAUGCACCCAUAUGGGAUGAGCUAGUAGGUGAGGUAAAGUCUUACCUAGGCGACGAUCCCUAGCUGGUCUGAGAGGAGGACCAGCCACACUGGGACUGAGACACGGCCAAGACUCCUACGGUAGUCAGCAGUAGGGAAUCUUCGGCAAUGGAGGAAAGUCUGACCGUGCAACCCCGCGUGUAUGAUGAAGGCCUUCGGGUUGUAAAGUACUUUCAGUCGGGAGGCGUUACCGACAGAAGAAGCACCGGGUAACUCCGUGCCAGCAGCCGCGGUAAUAC
rnacentral:rRNA from 1 species